GAUGAACGCUGGCGGCGUGCCUAAUACAUGCAAGUCGAGCGAACAGGCGAGGAGCUUGCUCCUCUGACGUUAGCGGCGGACGGGUGAGUAACACGUGGAUAACCUACCUAUAAGACUGGGAUAACUUCGGGAAACCGGAGCUAAUACCGGAUAAUAUAUUGAACCGCAUGGUUCAAUAGUGAAAGACGGUUUUGCUGUCACUUAUAGAUGGAUCCGCGCCGCAUUAGCUAGUUGGUAAGGUAAUGGCUUACCAAGGCAACGAGGCGUAGCCGACCUGAGAGGGUGAUCGGCCACACUGGAACGGAGACACGGUCCAGACUCCUACGGGAGGCAGCAGUAGGGAAUCUUCCGCAAUGGGCGAAAGCUUGACGGAGCAACGCCGCGUGAGUGAUGAAGGUCUUCGGAUCGUAAAACUCUGUUAUUAGGGAAGAACAAAUGUGUAAGUAACUAUGCACGUCUUGACGGUACCUAAUCAGAAAGCCACGGCUAACUACGUG
rnacentral:rRNA from 1 species